UACAGAGGGGGCAAGCGUUAUUCGGAAUUAUUGGGCGUAAAGGGCGCGUAGGCGGCCUGACAAGUGGAAGGUGAAAUCCCUCGGCUCAACUGAGGAACUGCCCUCCAAACUGUUUGGCUUGAGACCGGGAGAGGUGAGUGGAAUUCCCAGUGUAGCGGUGAAAUGCGUAGAUAUUGGGAGGAACACCAGUGGCGAAGGCGGUUAGCUGGGGUCGAACUGACGCUGAGGCGCGACAGCGUGGGGAGCAAACAGG
rnacentral:rRNA from 1 species